rnacentral:rRNA from 1 species
UGGGGAAUAUUGGACAAUGGGCGAAAGCCUGAUCCAGCCAUGCCGCGUAUGUGAAGAAGGUCUUCGGAUUGUAAAGCACUUUAAGUUGGGAGGAAGGGCAUUAACCUAAUACGUUAGUGUUUUGACGUUACCGACAGAAUAAGCACCGGCUAACUCUGUGCCAGCAGCCGCGGUAAUACAGAGGGUGCAAGCGUUAAUCGGAAUUACUGGGCGUAAAGCGCGCGUAGGUGGUUUGUUAAGUUGGAUGUGAAAUCCCCGGGCUCAACCUGGGAACUGCAUUCAAAACUGACUGACUAGAGUAUGGUAGAGGGUGGUGGAAUUUCCUGUGUAGCGGUGAAAUGCGUAGAUAUAGGAAGGAACACCAGUGGCGAAGGCGACCACCUGGACUAAUACUGACACUGAGGUGCGAAAGCGUGGGGAGCAAACA